rnacentral:misc_RNA from 1 species
UUUCCGUAGGUGAACCUGCGGAAGGAUCAUUAUUGUAUAACCGAGGUGCGAGGGCUGUCGCUGACCCGAAAGGUCGUGCACGCCCGAGUGCCCUCACACACAUCCAUCUCACCCCUAUGUGCACCACCGCGUGGGUCCCCCUUUGGCUUGUUCGGAGGGGGGCUUACGCUUUCACACAAACUUUGUAUGCAGUGUACAAUGUAUUUUUUGUUUUUGCGAUCACGCAAUCAAUACAACUUUCAACAACGGAUCUCUUGGCUCUC